rnacentral:tRNA from 1 species
CAGCCGCGGGUGACGGUGCAGCAGUCGCCGGACCGGUUCGGGCCCGGUGAACCGCCCGGGUUGCGGCCCGGAGCCGCAGUGGAUGAC